AACGCACAUUGCGCCCUCUGGUAUUCCGGGGGGCAUGCCUGUUCGAGCGUCAUUACAACCCUCAAGCUCUGCUUGGUAUUGGGGCCCGCCAGUAAAUGGCGGCCUCUAAAGUCAGUGGCGGUGCCGGUCGGCUCCAAGCGUAGUAAUUCUUCUCGCUCUGGUGCCCGGACGGUGUCUUGCCAUCAACCCCAAUCUUCUAAGGUUGACCUCGGAUCAGGUAGGGAUACCCGCUGAACUUAA
rnacentral:misc_RNA from 1 species